rnacentral:rRNA from 1 species
ACGGCUCAGUAACACGUGGCUAACCUGCCCUUGGGACGGGGACAACCCCGGGAAACUGGGGUUAAUCCCAGAUAGGUGAGAACUCCUGGAAUGGAUUUUCAUCGAAAAGGUGUUGAAGCAUGCUUUCAACGGCGUCCGAGGAUGGGACCGCGGCCGAUCAGGUUGUUGGUGAGGUAACGGCUCACCAAGCCUUUAACCGGUACGGGCCGUGAGAGCGGGAGCCCGGAGAUGGAAUCUGAGACAAAAUUCCAGGCCCUACGGGGCGCAGCAGUCGCGAAAACUCCGCAAUACGCGAAAGCGUGACGGGGCCAACCCGAGUGCCGUCCGCUGAGGAUGGCUUUUCCCCAGUGUAAUGAGCUGGAGGCAAUAAAAGGAGGGCAAGGAUGGUGUCAGCCGCCGCGGUAAGACCAACUCCUUGAGUGGUGAGGAUUAUUAUUGGGCUUAAAGCGUUCGUAGCUGGCCUGACUAGUCCCGCGUUAAAUCCAACGACCUAAUCGUUGGGCUGCGGGGGACACGGUCAGGCUUGGGGGCGGGAGAGGUUAGCGGUAUUCCCGGGGUAGGGGUAAAAUCUUAUAAUCCCGGGAGGACCACCAGUGGCGAAGGCUGCUAACCAGAACGCGCCCGACGGUGAGGGACGAAAGCUGGGGGAGCGAACCGGAUUAGAUACCCGGGUAGUCCCAGCCGUAAACGAUGCAGGCUAGCUGUUGGGAUGGCCACGAGCCAUUUCAGUGGCGCAGGGAAGCCGUUAAGCCUGCCGCCUGGGAAGUAAGAUCGCAAGAUUGAAACUUAAAGGAAUUGGCGGGGGAG